rnacentral:rRNA from 1 species
UACGGAGGAUCCAAGCGUUAUCCGGAUUUAUUGGGUUUAAAGGGUGCGUAGGCGGCCUAUUAAGUCAGUGGUGAAAGCCUGCAGCUUAACUGCAGAACUGCCAUUGAUACUGAUGGGCUUGAGUAUAGUUGAGGUUGGCGGAAUGUGUCAUGUAGCGGUGAAAUGCUUAGAUAUGACACAGAACACCGAUUGCGAAGGCAGCUAGCUAAACUAUAACUGACGCUGAGGCACGAAAGCGUGGGUAGCAAACAGG